UAAGAGCACUGGCUGUUGCUGAG
rnacentral:misc_RNA from 1 species